rnacentral:rRNA from 1 species
ACGAACGCUGGCGGCGCGCCUAACACAUGCAAGUCGAACGGAGCUUAGAGAGCUUGCUUUUUAAGCUUAGUGGCGAACGGGUGAGUAACGCGUGAGUAACCUGCCCUAGAGUGGGGGACAACAGUUGGAAACGACUGCUAAUACCGCAUAAGCCCACGGUACCGCAUGGUACUGAGGGAAAAGGAUUUAUUCGCUUUAGGAUGGACUCGCGUCCAAUUAGCUAGUUGGUGAGGUAACGGCCCACCAAGGCGACGAUUGGUAGCCGGACUGAGAGGUUGAACGGCCACAUUGGGACUGAGACACGGCCCAGACUCCUACGGGAGGCAGCAGUGGGGGAUAUUGCACAAUGGGGGAAACCCUGAUGCAGCGACGCCGCGUGGAGGAAGAAGGUUUUCGGAUUGUAAACUCCUGUCGUUAGGGACGAUAAUGACGGUACCUAACAAGAAAGCACCGGCUAACUACGUGCCAGCAGCCGCGGUAAAACGUAGGGUGCAAGCGUUGUCCGGAAUUACUGGGUGUAAAGGGAGCGCAGGCGGGAAGACAAGUUGGAAGUGAAAACCAUGGGCUCAACCCAUGAAUUGCUUUCAAAACUGUUUUUCUUGAGUAGUGCAGAGGUAGAUGGAAUUCCCGGUGUAGCGGUGGAAUGCGUAGAUAUCGGGAGGAACACCAGUGGCGAAGGCGGUCUACUGGGCACCAACUGACGCUGAGGCUCGAAAGCAUGGGUAGCAAACAGGAUUAGAUACCCUGGUAGUCCAUGCCGUAAACGAUGAUUACUAGGUGUUGGGGGAUUGACCCCCUCAGUGCCGCAGUUAACACAAUAAGUAAUACACCUGGGGAGUACGACCGCAAGGUUGAAACUCAAAGGAAUUGACGGGGGCCCGCACAAGCAGUGGAGUAUGUGGUUUAAUUCGAAGCAACGCGAAGAACCUUACCAAGUCUUGACAUCCUUCUGACCGGUGCUUAACCGUACCUUCUCUUCGGAGCAGGAGUGACAGGUGGUGCAUGGUUGUCGUCAGCUCGUGUCGUGAGAUGUUGGGUUAAGUCCCGCAACGAGCGCAACCCUUAUUGCCAGUUACUACGUUAAGAGGACUCUGGCGAGACUGCCGUUGACAAAACGGAGGAAGGUGGGGAUGACGUCAAAUCAUCAUGCCCUUUAUGACCUGGGCUACACACGUACUACAAUGGCGUUAAACAAAGAGAAGCAAGACCGCGAGGUGGAGCAAAACUCAAAAACAACGUCUCAGUUCAGAUUGCAGGCUGCAACUCGCCUGCAUGAAGUCGGAAUUGCUAGUAAUCGCGGAUCAGCAUGCCGCGGUGAAUACGUUCCCGGGCCUUGUACACACCGCCCGUCACACCAUGAGAGCCGGGGGGACCCGAAGUCGAUAGUCUAACCGCAAGGAGGACGUCGCCGAAGGUAAAACUGGUGAUUGGGGUG